CGUGUAGGUGGCUCUUCAAGUCUCUGGUGAAAUCUCCCGGCUUAACCGGGAGGGUGCCAGGGAAACUGGAGGGCUUGAGGGCAGCAGAGGGGGUGGAAUUCCCGGUGUAGUGGUGAUAUGCGUAGAUAUCGGGAGGAACACCAGUGGCGAAGGCGGCCCCCCUGGGCUGUUCCUGACACUGAGGCGCGAAAGCGUGGGGAGCAAACA
rnacentral:rRNA from 1 species